UCUCAUGGGGGAAAGGCUAAUAUCCACACAAGCAUUUGUUAUCAACUCCCUUGGCCAACCAUAGUCUGUAGAUUCUUCUUUAAAAGUUCCAGUUUCUCCUAAUUAUUCUGGUAUUCAAAUUCUAAAAUCUACAUCUCCAAGUGAACCUAAUAUAUCACCAAAUGACAAAUCUAGUAUGACUUGCUGGACGUGGCCUCUUACUAGC
rnacentral:misc_RNA from 1 species